AGGGCUGUAGCUCAAUUUGGUAGAGCACCGGUCUCCAAAACCGGCGGUUGAGAGUUCGAGUCUCUCCGGCCCUG
rnacentral:tRNA from 1 species